AGGAACGGGAGGUUUCGGACCAGGAGGUGCUGGCACAGGACCUGGAGGCUACGGACCAGGAGGCCCACGUUACGGAAAAAGAAAACCGUCUAAAUCUGGUUAUGGGUAUGGCGCAGGGCGAUUAGGAGGCGGUAUAGGUGCUGGUCCUGGUGGAGUUGGAGCUGGAUCUGCAGGCUAUGGCCCAGGAGGAUAUGGACCAGCUGGAACAGGGACAGGCAAUUUGGG